UAAGAGUCGCAGAUAACUAAACCGGAUUCUUCCGAGGGUUCCGGCCUGGGUUUUCAGGCCUGUUUGCUAUGGAAGAGCAGGUUCCUGGAGCACCGCCAAGGCCCAUUGCCUGGAUGGAGGCAGCUUCCACGCGGCACGUUUGGGUGGAAAUGCCCAAAGGGAGAAUCUGCAGAAUCUGGAGCACCUGACACCCGACGCUUCUCGGGCUUUCUGCCCGUGUGGCCAGGCUUGGGCCGUGACUGUCUCCCAGGGGACCUCCAUCUCUGCCCCACCAGCCUGGCCUUGGUGGAGGGGCGCUGGCUCACCCUGCAGCUGGCAGCCAACCAUGCAGACCUGGUCUCCCCGGCCGACCCCUUGAGGCUCGCUCUCCACUCCAUCCAGACCAGGGAUGGCGGGGACGUGGACUUCGUGCUAUUCUGGAAAGGAGAAGGGGUGUGUAAAGAAACAAACAUCACCGUCCAUCCAACCCAGUUGCAAGGCCAGUACCAAGGCUCAUUUGAGGGCGGCAGCAUGCACGUACGCUUCGUCAGCACCGACUACAGCAACCUCAUUCUUUACGUGCGCUUUGAGGAUGACGAGGUCACC
rnacentral:sRNA from 1 species